rnacentral:rRNA from 1 species
AGAGUUUGAUUCUGGCUCAGAACGAACGCUGGCGGCGUGGAUAAGACAUGCAAGUCGAACGGGAGAAUUGCUAGCUUGCUAAUAAUUCUCUAGUGGCGCACGGGUGAGUAACACGUGAGUAACCUGCCUCUUAGUGGGGGAUAGCCCUGGGAAACCGGGAUUAAUACCGCAUACGAUUGAAAGAUCAAAGCAGCAAUGCGCUAGGAGAUGGGCUCGCGGCCUAUUAGUUAGUUGGUGAGGUAACGGCUCACCAAGGCGAUGACGGGUAGCCGGUCUGAGAGGAUGUCCGGCCACACUGGAACUGAGACACGGUCCAGACACCUACGGGUGGCAGCAGUCGAGAAUCAUUCACAAUGGGGGCAACCCUGAUGGUGCGACGCCGCGUGGGGGAAUGAAGGUCUUCGGAUUGUAAACCCCUGUCAUGUGGGAGCAAAUUAAAAAGAUAGUACCACAAGAGGAAGAGACGGCUAACUCUGUGCCAGCAGCCGCGGUAAUACAGAGGUCUCAAGCGUUGUUCGGAAUCACUGGGCGUAAAGCGUGCGUAGGCUGUUUCGUAAGUCGUGUGUGAAAGGCAGGGGCUCAACCCCUGGAUUGCACAUGAUACUGCGAGACUAGAGUAAUGGAGGGGGAACCGGAAUUCUCGGUGUAGCAGUGAAAUGCGUAGAUAUCGAGAGGAACACUCGUGGCGAAGGCGGGUUCCUGGACAUUAACUGACGCUGAGGCACGAAGGCCAGGGGAGCGAAAGGGAUUAGAUACCCCUGUAGUCCUGGCAGUAAACGGUGCACGCUUGGUGUGCGGGGAAUCGACCCCCUGCGUGCCGGAGCUAACGCGUUAAGCGUGCCGCCUGGGGAGUACGGUCGCAAGAUUAAAACUCAAAGAAAUUGACGGGGACCCGCACAAGCGGUGGAGUAUGUGGCUUAAUUCGAUGCAACGCGAAGAACCUUACCUGGGCUUGACAUGUAAUGAACAACAUGUGAAAGCAUGCGACUCUUCGGAGGCGUUACACAGGUGCUGCAUGGCCGUCGUCAGCUCGUGUCGUGAGAUGUUUGGUUAAGUCCAGCAACGAGCGCAACCCCUGUUGCCAGUUACCAUCGAGUAAUGUCGGGGACUCUGGCGAGACUGCCCAGAUCAACUGGGAGGAAGGUGGGGACGACGUCAGGUCAGUAUGGCCCUUAUGCCCAGGGCUGCACACGUACUACAAUGCCCAGUACAGAGGGGGCCGAAGCCGCGAGGCGGAGGAAAUCCUGAAAACUGGGCCCAGUUCGGACUGUAGGCUGCAACCCGCCUACACGAAGCCGGAAUCGCUAGUAAUGGCGCAUCAGCUACGGCGCCGUGAAUACGUUCCCGGGUCUUGUACACACCGCCCGUCACAUCAUGGAAGCCGGUCGCACCCGAAGUAUCUGAAGCCAACCGCAAGGAGGCAGGGUCCUAAGGUGAGACUGGUAACUGGGAUGAAGUCGUAACAAGGUAGCCGUAGGGGAACCUGCGGC